GACGAACGCUGGCGGCGUGCUUAACACAUGCAAGUCGAACGAGGCCCUCCUUCGGGAGGUGUCCUAGUGGCGAACGGGUGAGUAACACGUGGGCAACCUGCCCCCGGCUCCGGGAUAACCCCAAGAAAUUGGGGCUAAUACCGGAUAUGACCGCUGACCGCAUGGUCGGUGGUGGCAAGGGUUUCCGGCUGGGGAUGGGCCCGCGGCCGAUCAGCUUGUUGGUGGGGUAGUGGCCUACCAAGGCGACGACGGGUAGCCGGCCUGAGAGGGUGACCGGCCACACUGGGACUGAGACACGGCCCAGACUCCUACGGGAGGCAGCAGUGGGGAAUAUUGCGCAAUGGGCGAAAGCCUGACGCAGCGACGCCGCGUGAGGGAUGACGGCCUUCGGGUUGUAAACCUCUUUCAGCAGGGACGAAGCGCAAGUGACGGUACCUGCAGAAGAAGCACCGGCCAACUACGUGCCAGCCGCCGCGGUAAAAC
rnacentral:rRNA from 1 species